rnacentral:rRNA from 1 species
GCGGCGGACGGGUGAGUAACACGUGGAUAACCUACCUAUAAGACUGGGAUAACUUCGGGAAACCGGAGCUAAUACCGGAUAAUAUUUUGAACCGCAUGGUUCAAAAGUGAAAGACGGUCUUGCUGUCACUUAUAGAUGGAUCCGCGCUGCAUUAGCUAGUUGGUAAGGUAACGGCUUACCAAGGCAACGAUGCAUAGCCGACCUGAGAGGGUGAUCGGCCACACUGGAACUGAGACACGGUCCAGACUCCUACGGGAGGCAGCAGUAGGGAAUCUUCCGCAAUGGGCGAAAGCCUGACGGAGCAACGCCGCGUGAGUGAUGAAGGUCUUCGGAUCGUAAAACUCUGUUAUUAGGGAAGAACAUAUGUGUAAGUAACUGUGCACAUCUUGACGGUACCUAAUCAGAAAGCCACGGCUAACUACGUGCCAGCAGCCGCGGUAAUACGUAGGUGGCAAGCGUUAUCCGGAAUUAUUGGGCGUAAAGCGCGCGUAGGCGGUUUUUUAAGUCUGAUGUGAAAGCCCACGGCUCAACCGUGGAGGGUCAUUGGAAACUGGAAAACUUGAGUGCAGAAGAGGAAAGUGGAAUUCCAUGUGUAGCGGUGAAAUGCGCAGAGAUAUGGAGGAACACCAGUGGCGAAGGCGACUUUCUGGUCUGUAACUGACGCUGAUGUGCGAAAGCGUGGGGAUCAAACAGGAUUAGAUACCCUGGUAGUCCGCGCCGUAAACGAUGAGUGCUAAGUGUUAGGGGGUUUCCGCCCCUUAGUGCUGCAGCUAACGCAUUAAGCACUCCGCCUGGGGAGUACGACCGCAAGGUUG